rnacentral:rRNA from 1 species
UUACUGGGCCAUUACUGACGCUGAUGCACGAAAGCGUGGGGAGCGAACAGGAUUAGAUACCCUGGUAGUCCACGCCGUAAACGAUGAUCACUCGCUGUUAGCGAUACACAGUUAGCGGCUAAGCAAAAGCAUUAAGUGAUCCACCUGGGGAGUACGGCCGCAAGGCUGAAACUCAAAGGAAUUGACGGGGGCCCGCACAAGCGGAGGAACAUGUGGUUUAAUUCGAUGAUACGCGAGGAACCUUACCUGGGCUUAAAUGUAGAGUGCAUGAGGUAGAAAUACUUCUUUCCUUCGGGACUCUUUGCAAGGUGCUGCAUGGUUGUCGUCAGCUCGUGCCGUGAGGUGUCGGGUUAAGUCCCAUAACGAGCGCAACCCUUAUCGUUAGUUGCCAGCGGGUAAUGCCGGGAACUCUAACGAAACUGCCGGUGUAAACCGUGAGGAAGGUGGGGAUGACGUCAAAUCAGCACGGCCCUUAUGUCCAGGGCUACACACGUGUUACAAUGGCCGGUACAGAGGGCAGCUACCUGGAGACAGGAUGCGAAUCUCCAAAGCCGGUCCCAGUUCGGAUCGGAGUCUGCAACUCGACUCCGUGAAGCUGGAUUCGCUAGUAAUCGCGCAUCAGCCAUGGCGCGGUGAAUACGUUCCCGGGCCUUGUACACACCGCCCGUCAAGCCAUGGAAGUUGGGGGUACCUGAAGUCCGUAACCGUAAGGAGCGGCCUAGGGUAAAACUAGUGACUGGGGCUAAGUCGUAACAAGGUAACCGUA